rnacentral:lncRNA from 14 species
CGCUAAUUAAAGGGCCGGAUAUCUUACAAUUAAAAAUUAAAUGAAAAUUACGUCAAACGUCGUGAAAGGGCCGUAAAGCGCGACUGCCGUAAAACCGAGUGGAUUUUCGGGCGUCCCGAGGCGAUUUUUGGGGUUGCCAGGUCAAUUUUAGGGGUCCCGAGUGAAUUUUGGGCGUCCUGUGCGGAUUUUGGCAGGCGCUGAAUGAAUUUUGGGAGUCCCAGGUGGGUUUUGGGGGGUCCCAAAUGAAUUUUUGGGGGAUUCUGAGAGGAUUUUGGGUGGUUCUGAGUGGAUUUUGGGGGUCCCGGCUGAAUUUGGGGGCUCCGAAGUGAAUUUUGGGGGGUUCCAGGUGGAUUUUUGGGGUCCCGAGAGGAUUUUUGGGGGUCCUGAAUGAAGUUUUGAGGUAAAAAAUCGCCCCUCCCCUUUUCCCACCAUAGCCCCGCCCACUCCCCAGCAAACCCCGCCCAUUUCACGAGACCACGCCCCCUUUUCAUUCCAGGCUCUUUAUUGGUUCAAAUCCGACGUCAAUCAAGCGGGGGGGGGAAGGGUUAAAGGGGAAAUUUAGGGAAAUUGGGGCAAAUUUGGGGCGGAUGGGGGGAAAUUUUGGUCAAUUUGGGAUAAACUUGGAGCUGUUUUCGGUGAAUUUUAAAUAUUUUGGAUGAAUUUGGGGCAGUUUGGGGUGAAUUUUGGCCAAUUUGGGGUAAAUUCAGGGCAGUUUUCGGUCAAUUUGCGGCAGUUUCAGGUAAAUUUGGGCCGUUUUGCUUCAAUUGGGGCAGUUUUGGGUGAAUUCGGAGCCAUUUUUGUGUCAAUUUUGACCAUUUUGGGUAAAUUUGGGGCUGUUCUGGCUAUAUUUGGAGCAGUUUUUUGGGUAAUUUUGGGGCAGUUUUCAUUAGAUUUGGGCCCUUUUUGGGCUCUUUUGGGUGGAUUUGAGACCAUUUUGGUGAAUUUGGAGCAGUUUUGGGUAAAUCUGGGGGCACUUUCAGUUACAAAAAGCGGGACAGUUUUGGGUACAAAUUCGGGGGCUGUUUCGGGUCAUUCGGGGGCGUUUUUGGGAUUUUUUGGGGGAUUUUUUGGGGAUUUUUUUGGGGGUUUUUUUGGGUUUUUUUUUCACGGCGGGGGCAGGGCCAGCAGGGGGGCAGCAGCUCGGGGGUCCCCGCCCCCACCCGCCGGCAGUGUUUGCAUUUCGGAGGCACGACUGGCACGGGAAGUAUUUGCUCUUGAUGUCCCAAAACCGAUCCCCGUAGUCAAACCUGCAAAUUUGGGGGGGGGACAAAAAUCCUGGGGUCACCCCCAAAUUCCGAGCCCGUCCCCAAAGUGGGGGCGGUUGGGGUUAGGGGGGUUUGGGGUCACCCAAAAAUGGGGUGGGGGGUGUAAAUUUGUGCUAAAUUGGCUCUAAAUUGUCCUUAAAUUUUCCCUAAAUUGUCUUUGAAUUUUCACUAAAUUGUCCUUAAAUUUCCACUAAAUUGUCCUUAAAUGGCACUAAAUUGUCCUUAAAUGGCCCUAAAUAUCCUUAAAUGGCCCUAAAUGUCCUUAAAUUUUCCCUAAAUUGUCCCUAAAUUGUCCUUAAAUGGCCCUAAAAUGGCCCUAAAUAUCCUUAAAUGUCCUUAAAUGGCCCUAAAUACCCUUAAAUGUCCUUAAAUGGCCCUAAAUGUCCUUAAAUUUUCACUGAAUUGUCCAUAAAUUGUCCUUAAAUGGCCCUAAAUUGUCCUUAAAUGGCCCUAAACAUCCUUAAAUGUCCUUAAAUUUUCACAAAAUGUCCUUAGAUGGCCCUAAAUCUCCUUAAUGGCC